UACGGGGGAUGCAAGCGUUAUCCGGAAUCAUUGGGCGUAAAGCGCCUGUAGGUUGUUUAGUAAGUCUGUUGUUAAAGACCAGGGCUUAACCCUGGGAAAGCAAUGGAAACUACUAGACUUGAGUAUGGCAGGGGUAGAGGGAAUUUCUAGUGUAGCGGUGAAAUGCGUAGAUAUUAGAAAGAACACCGGCGGCGAAAGCGCUCUACUGGACCAUUACUGACACUCAGAGGCGAAAGCUAGGGGAGCAAAA
rnacentral:rRNA from 1 species